rnacentral:rRNA from 1 species
GACGAACGCUGGCGGCGUGCUUAACACAUGCAAGUCGAACGGAAAGGCCCUGCUUUUGUGGGGUGCUCGAGUGGCGAACGGGUGAGUAACACGUGAGUAACCUGCCCUUGACUUUGGGAUAACUUCAGGAAACUGGGGCUAAUACCGGAUAGGAGCUCCUGCUGCAUGGUGGGGGUUGGAAAGUUUCGGCGGUUGGGGAUGGACUCGCGGCUUAUCAGCUUGUUGGUGGGGUAGUGGCUUACCAAGGCUUUGACGGGUAGCCGGCCUGAGAGGGUGACCGGCCAAAUUGGGCCGGGGAUACGGCCAGGACUCCUACGGGAGGAAGCGGUGGGAAUAUUGCACAAUGGGCGGAAGCCUGAUGCAGCAACGCCGCGUGCGGGAUGACGGCCUUCGGGUUGUAAACCGCUUUCGCCUGUGACGAAGCGUGAGUGACGGUAAUGGGUAAAGAAGCACCGGCUAACUACGUG